rnacentral:rRNA from 1 species
UACGUAGGGCGCAAGCGUUGUCCGGAAUUAUUGGGCGUAAAGAGCUCGUAGGCGGCUUGUCACGUCGGGUGUGAAAGCCCGGGGCUUAACCCCGGGUCUGCAUUCGAUACGGGCUAGCUAGAGUGUGGUAGGGGAGAUCGGAAUUCCUGGUGUAGCGGUGAAAUGCGCAGAUAUCAGGAGGAACACCGAUGGCGAAGGCAGGUCUCUGGGCAUUAACUGACGCUGAGACGCGAAAGCGUGGGGAGCAAACAGG